UGCUUCGGCGUCAGGGACGGUCUUCCCCAGGGGCCACCGGGGUGAAAUGACCCCACCAAGCCCCCCAUGCGACGGCCCCCGCAGGGACUGGCAUCCCUUGCGGGGGCCUGGCCACCGAUGAAGCCGGCAACUUCCCG
rnacentral:ncRNA from 1 species